GGGGAGGGCAUGGCCAGUGUCCAGUGAGAACAGAGAAUGCUCUAGGGUUCUGGGGCCGGACUUGGAGCUGUGCAGAGACCUGGGAUCUACCAGAGAUGCAGCCCCCAAGUACAUGGGGUAGUGAGGAAGCCCUCUGGUCUCUCUUCUCCCAUUCUUUUACUCUUUUCUUGUUCCUUCCACUGGCCCAAAAAACUGAACGCCAACAGGCAAGGGAUCCCAGGUGAAGCCUCACAGGAGGCUGACCUCCCAGGACUUACAUCAAGGCAGUUUCUGAGGUCAUCAGAGAAGAUUUGCCAGAGGCUUUCGCUUACCCAAGGGAAGUAAUGUUAAAGGGUCAUGUGUUUUUCUGAAGCAAAGUAUCGCUUUUACAGAGAAAUGGCUGCUACCUAGGGCCAGUGCCUUCACAGUUUGGUUAUGCUAAGUAGAAGAUACAGAUUUGUAAUGCCUAAAUUCUCACACUUCUAAUCCUACAGUCCAAUUAUUCUGGCAUUUGCUACAAUGUGCUCUGAAGAAAUGGAUUGGAAAUAAACAAAUAAAUAAAUAAAUAAAUAAUUCCACAGGAGGAAAAAAAUGCGUUCUGAAAGGAUCAGGAUUUUCAAAGCCCCCAAGCUUCAACAUAUCCGAGGAUCGAAGGCCUGAAUAAAGUGGCAUCACAGAAGUGUGAGAACAGCCUUUCCCCAUUCUCCGGAGUGGAUCCAUGAGCCAGGAGUCAGGCCUGCACUUUGAGGAGCGGAAGUGCUUUUGUGAGGACAAGCAAGAAUGUCUUGUAAUUUCAACUACCCUUAAAGCUGUUUCAGGGUUCCCUGAUAAUGAACUAACUGAUACUGGGACUUCCCUUCUCCAUCCCCCAAAGAAAAGCUGCGUUCCAACUCAACACCUCAUAGAACCAGAGCCCCCUAAUAUCCCUAGGUGUGGGCAGCUGGCAUUCCCCAACAUUCCCCUAACACCCAGCACCUAAGCUAAGAAUGCUUGGGGCCUGAACCCCAAAUGUUUAUUCAGCCAUGUAAAGCCACUUGCACACUUGUCCUAUAAAAAAGGAAAGCAACAGAAUGUUUUUCUCCUCUUGGAGCAGAGCCCCACAGUGAAUCUAGCAAUGCACUGGCUCAAACAUGCCCCCUUUUCAGCAGCAUGCUGAAAGAAAUAGGAUCCAUGCGUCAGCUGGAAUUUCUAUCUCUGAGUUUCUACCUAAACUAAGUGAUACUUUCUGUUAUUCCCAGUCACAUCAAAACAAAUGUGAGAUUCAAAUUUUAAACUGGGCUAUACUGUAACAAAUUAGACUUGACUCUUUUUGUUUUGUUUUGUUUAAAUAACAGAAAGUGACUAGAAAACUAUAGGAUCCACCUAAGAUGCUAAGACAUGGCAAAGUGAGACCAAACAUAGCACAACAAAUAGUUGGAGACAAAAUAAAAGCAUUUUACAUUUGUGCACUACAAUGUUCAGGCUAUUCAACACACUGAUUUCACACAUACAGUCCCAUUUAUUGCCAACAAUAACCCUGCAAAGUAGGUACUAUUAUUGGGCACAUUUUACAUAUAAAACGACUUAAAAUUAGAGGAGGUAGUAUAUAUUUUCCUAAUUUUUGGCAGCCCAGCAUCUAAAGCCCUUUUCUAUGCUUGAAGAAUGCCCUGCCUUAUGAGUGAGUCUUGCUGGAAAGAAGAGACCAGCUUCCAAUAUAAAAACUGAAAAUACCAAAUACUUUUCCCAUAUUCCCUGAUAACUAUCACACUGACAUUAGAAGAGUCUCCACCAACAGAUGUGAGCAUGCCAGUUUUCCCCAGAAUCUAAAGAUACAAAGAAAGAGGAUUUUUGUGGGAAACCACUCUGGUGAAAAUGCCAGUGGAAGUCCUACACUGAACCCGAUUUCCAGUGGCAAGAAUUUUAGUGGCUCCAGCAGCGAUGCCCAGUGCUCCGUGACUAUGGGUUCACAAUGUACACAAACUGGUUGGGCCACUGCAGAUGAAAGAGAUGGCUUCAAGUGCUCAGUUAUGUGUCUUGAUUGGUAAUGUGGCCAUUGGCUGGGUAAUGUCCACACUGCUUCUCUGGCCCUUUUGAAGUGUCUGUUAGCCAUAAUAACUAGAUUUAUUUUCUGAUUAAAUUAGCUAGAAUUAGGUUCUGACUGACUUAGGAUAAGUAAUUGCUCUCUGAUCACACAUAGAGCAAAUGAUGGAGCUGGAAUUCCAGUCUUCACUAGGUUAUACUGAAUGAUGAGAUAAUGUUAUGGGCUGAAUUCAUGUGUUGAAGUCCUCAUCUCCAGAACCUCAGAAUGUCUGUAUUUGGAGAAGAGUUUUUAAUGUUGUAAUUCAGUGAAAGUGAGGUCAGUAGGGUGGCUAUAAUUCAAUAUGACCUGAAUCCUUACGAGAAUGAAAAUCUGGACACAGAAAUCCGUGUGGGAGGCCAUGUGAAGACACGGAGAAAGCAUCCAUCUGUGAGCCAAAGAGAGAGGCCUCAGAAGAAACCACCCCUGCAGACACCUUGUAAUUGGACGUCUAGCCUUCAGAACUGUGAAACAGGAAAUUUCUGUUAUUUAAGCCACCCAGUCUAUGGUACUUUGUUAUGGCAGUCCUAAUAAACUAAUACCAGGAAUGAGGAAUACGAAAGAAUUCAAGAUGAUCUCAAAGUUGCUCAAUGAGGUGACUUUAGAAAAGAUGAAGGGUAUGAGAGGAGUAGCCAUUGCAGAAGGAGAACAAGAUCAUGAAUUCAAUUCAGAAAACUUUGAUUUUGAGACCUCUGCAGGAGAAAAUAAGAGAAAGCUUCAAAGGCCUAGCUUCCUUUAUAGAGUCCUGGGAGAGACCUAAAGUUGAGGAAUAGAGAGAAAAGGCACCUCUGGAUACUCACUGGCAUUGGAUCCAGCUCUGAGUUGCUUGCUUUCUGGGCUUCAGAAUGACAAAGCAGGUUUAUGCACAGAGUUUUUCAAUAAGCAAGUCCCCACUGAAGGUCACAGGCCUAUUUCAGCAGUGGGAGAAACCACAGUCAGCAGUAUUGGGCCAUGCAAGUGAAGGGUUGUUCACUGGAGAGGUUUGUUACCUUAUUGGGAAGAUGAAGUUUUCAUCCAGCAUUAAGCCUAUGGCUAUAAUUCAGGGAUGAGACAAGGGUGUUUGCAUUUGUUAGCAUGAAGACAAACAAAUCCAACACCCUUAGGUCAGAAUUUCAGCUUAACAUGGUAUCUUGUGCUUGAAUAUCCCUUGCAACCUCUCCUGACUUUCCACUUUCCAAAGUGAGUCUUUUAAAAUGCUCACGUUUUGGCUCACACCUGUAAUCCCAGCACUUUGGGAGGCCGAGGCGGGCGGAUCACGAGAUCAGGAGAUCAAGACCACGGUGAAACCCCGUCUCUACUAAAAUACAAAAAAUUAACCGGGCGUGGUGGUGGGCUCCUGUAGUCCCAGCUACUCGGGAGGCUGAGGCAGGAGAAUGACGUGAACCCCGAAGGCGGAGCUUGCAGUGAGCCGAGAUUUCGCCACUGCACUCCAGCCUGGGCGACACUGCGAGACUCCGUCUCAAAAAAAAAAAAAAAAAAAAAAAAAAAAAGGCCACGUUUAUUGGUCUUAUGCCUAUAAAAAAAGUCUAUGUGGACAACCACUCAUUGAUUCAAUAAAUAAUGCUUAAGUGCUUACUCUGUGCCAGGAUUCUGAAAGGCACUGUGGGUAAAUGGUAGGCAAAUCUAAACCUGGUCCUGCCUUCAGAGAGUCUACUGUUUGAACGGAAAAAGAAGAGAAUGAGGCCAAACAAGAGGUUGUUCACCUGAGGAAAUGGAUGGGAGCUGGGCAAGCCUACCUGGCAGAGGCUCACCUGGCUGAGUACCUAUGAAAUUGCCAUGGAUGAUCUCAAAAUUCAAAGAAAAGUCCAGUGCAUAUAAAUAAAAACCUUGAAAACACAAAUUCAUAGGCAAAAGGCUGAGAGGCCACAUAAAUUACUUUUAGUGAAAACAACAAAUAAUAUUAGUAUUAUUUCUGUUUCAGUAUUCAAGGCAGUGGUGAUGGGAACUUGAGGGCAUGAGAAUCAGGGCAAAGAGAAUUACUGAAAGAGUAAAACUAUCUUAAAGAUGUGAGGUUGGCCACUGAUGGAGAGGACAAGCAGGACAGGGAUCGGGGGACCAAAGUCCAGCUGCACUGACUCCAUUCAGCUCUGCUCUGUUCACCCUCAUCCCAAACCUGUCCCCAUCCCCAGACAAAUAGAAGCUGUGGACAAAGAUUGUUUUUGCCCUCCACAUCUCCAAUACUCUGUUUUCAAAUGACUGCAACCAACCCAACAAAAGAACUCACUUAACAUAUUAGUAGUAUCUUAAAUGAUGCAAUUUUAUCUUGUCCAUGAAAUAGCUUCAAUUAAAACAAAUUAUCUCUUUCCAUUCAUAGCUUAAUUCAUAUAGCACAUCUGAUAGAGCCUUUUUAAAUGCUCACUUUUAUUGGUCUUAUUUCAAAAUUAAUUCAUGUUUAUAGUCUAGCAUUUAGAAAAUUCCAAGGCAAAGCAGGCUACAUUUGUGUGUUUCCUCUUGGUGUCUCCAGUGCCCCAUGCCGCCACUGCACAGAGGACAUUAAGCAUUGAACACAGAGAACUAAACCACUUAAGGAACCACCCAUAAUCUCAAUACCAAUAGAUACUUACCCUCACUUUUUUGAUAUGUUUUUUCCAGUCACUUGUGUAUGUAAGCAUACAUACAAAAACAGGUGUGUGUGUGUGUGUAAAAAUGUGUGUUUACAGAGUUCGUUUUACAGGAAAGCACAAAGUCAGAUAGUUGUUAUCGGGCACCUAUGGGAAAUGUCAUAGGAGACUAAAGAUGAGACGAAAACUUUGGGACCACCACUCUUAAUCAUCCUAAUACUUGAUCUUUCCAUGGCUACCCUGAGAUAGAAUAAAUGGCUUUUGUAAAACAACUUAAACCUCAUCUCCUUAAUUGAGGUAUCCUGCUUUCUUACUCUUAUUUACGUGUCUAAGUCAGGGAGAAACAUCCCAUUAUGUCACAAAUAAGAUUAAAGGUAGUUGUAAUUAAAUUUCACCAUGUGCCCUGAGUUUUCCCACCUGAGAAUUAUAAGAAAAAAAUCAAAAGGUCUUCUCCUCUUACUAGACUACCCACCAAAUGGUCAUUACAUUUUCCUGUAGGCUGCAGAUAAAAUCUCUCUAUCAUAAGUCUCCCAAUCACCAAGUGAGAAAACACCACUCUGGGGUCCAGGGAUGUGUAGGCAAUUGAAGAGUUUCUCUUUUAAGAAUGGCAGCUCAUUAGGGUAAGUGUCCAAGAACAUAAUGAAAAAAUUGUGGUAUAUUUAUACUGGGGGAUAUGCCAGAUUAAAAAACGAACACAUUUGAGUUACAGAUAGCAACAUGGAUAAAUCUCUAAUGCAGAAUUUUAAUAAGAAAAAGGCAUAUUGCAGAAUUAUAGGUGCAGUAUAAUACCAUGUAUAUAAAGUUUAAACACAAAAACAUGCUAUAUAUCUUUUAUGGAUAUAUCCUUGUGCAGUAAAAAAUAUAAAAUAUGCAUAAGAAUGACAAAGACAAAUUUUAGAGGAUUUAUUCCCUUAGGGAGAAAAGGAAACGGCAUCACAAGGAUUACAAGAUUUGAAUUGAAUCUACAAUAUUUUAUUCCUUAAGCUGAGUAGCGGGUACAUGGGUGUUCAUAUACUCAAAACCAUUUUUGGCACAUGAAAUAUUUUAAAAUUUUUUAAAAAGCUAGAUAGUAUGAUUGACAUCUUCAGAUACUUGAAGAUCUGGCAUGUUGAUGAUGGAAAGUAUCCUAUGACUAAGUAGGUAAAGCUAUUAUGAAGGCAAAUUUUAGGUCAUUCUUAGGAAAAACCUAAAAGGGCUGUCUAAAAAUGAACAGUGUCUUCUACAUGAUUAAGGAGUAAAACAGAGUUAAGGUCUUCGGAGGUAGCAAGUCACAGUGCAAGUAGAGUUCACUUGUCUUUGUCUUGAAAGCAAAGAUUUCUUUUCUCUUGCAAAAUUCCCGGGACAUAUCCUGAUAAAGCUUUACAUCUCAGCAGCAUCACUCUGAUUGCUCUUUUUUCAGUUGGUGUCAUUGGAAGCCCCUAAACCCUAUUUAACUUCAGUGCCAUUGACUGGCACUUCCUGCCACUUACAUCUUUGCCAUUUGGCAGUGCCUGGGUUGGACAGAUCUGCCACCUGGUUCUGGUUCUGCAUUAUUGUCAUUCCUUGUGCCAGUCAUAAGGAUUCACUGGCACCCCUCUGAGAUUAGGAGUUCUCCAGGUCUGGAGAUAUUAAAAAAGAGAGAGAUGGUCAGCGAUGCUAUAGAAGGGAUUUUAGUAGUCUCUGGUAUGCUGGAGCACAUAACCUUUGAGUAUGGAUUUCCAUAUUCAUUUAUUCAAGAAAUGUUUAGUGAGUGUUUACUUUGUGCAAAGCACCUUGCUCGUUAAGCUUCUAUGGCUCUAGAAUUUGUCUUUGAAAAUGCGUCUCUAACUUUACAGAAAUGAAAAUUGAGACAUGAUGGGAAAACUUAUUUUAAGCAAACAAUAAGGCAGGCAGGCAGGCUGUGGUUUGCAGACCGACCACUUCUAGCCUUAUUGCCAAGAGCACUACGAGAGUCACAGGAACAUUUUGGAGAUAAUGUUACAUUCACAGACUUGUACAUGUCUUACAGUGAAAGACACCCCAGAGGUUAUCCAAUUCAAAUACUUCAUUUUACAGACGAGGAAACAAAAGCCUGGGGAGGUAUGUGGCUAACUGAUUGCAGAAUCUAUUCUCAGAUAUGGUAUUUCCUUCCCAACCUUGAAAGUUGUGUUCCUGAAAACCUCCAUGGAAGGAGAAAUUACACUUGAGGAACUUACGACCUUAGGAAGAAAAUAGAGUUUGGGGAGUAAGAUAGUGAGUGAAUCUGAGAAAGUUAUCAUCAUUGUUUUAUAUCUACUAAUAAAACAAUGUAGGUACCAUUGAUACCCACUUUAUUUUAUGCCGAACGCAUUUGUAAUGGUGAAUCUUGUACAGGUGAUUUUAUUUACUUCUUAGAAUUCCUUAUUAACACUUCUCUAGGCUCUCUAUACACAAUUUUUGUAAAACUUCUUGUGAGUCAUUGCCUUUUUGUGUAAAUACUGGUUACAAUGGAUUGUUUUCUGUUUCAGGUCCUGUUGUCUCUGCCUUUUUGCAUCUUUGACAUUAUCAUUGUAACUUAUAACUUCUAACCUCUACUCUGACUCAACUUGGUUGUUUCCUGAUUCCUCUCUCUCCUUCUUGCUGUUCCUUCUCUCUGCUGUCCUUUAACUGUAGCUGCUCACCAGGACUAUGCUGUAAACUUUCACCUCCUCUCACUGUUUACUCUACCUAUGUAACUAUCAUGUUUGAUAAUGAGGUCCUGCUGAAUAAGCCUGUUUGCUGUCUUUCCAGGCUGUGCUUUCCCACUCCUGCAGCUACUGCCUUAAUUCAGGUUAUCACUGUCUCUCACUAGGACCCCUGCACUAAUCUCCUUGAUUGGUCAAAGGUUUCAUUAUUUGCAUUGUGCUCUGAGUGAAAUUUUCUUAUGACGGCUUACAGUUCCCAGUGGCUGCAUGUGCCUAUAGAACACUAACUUCCUAAGCAUUUCAUCCAAGGCCCUCCACCUUAGCUCUUGUACCCUUUACUCCAGCCAUAUUUAUUGACCCUACUUGAUGGCCUAAUGUACCAGACUAUUUGGCAUCUUCAUGCCUUUGUGAACUGACUUUUCUUCAUCAGGAAUGCCCUUCACUCUGCCCCUCUCACGCUACCCAUUUCCCCUCCCACGUGCAAUCACCUGCCUGGUGAACAUCUACUCUUCCUCGAAAACUUUGCUCAUACCAUCACCUCUCCCUUGGAGGUACCACUUCCUACUCCUACUUUCUGCUCAUCUCGUACCUCAUUAAAGAGAAUAGGAGGUUCCCACCACAAAAUCUGAAAGCCUCCUGCCACAAAACCUGUCUUCUUCCCUCUGUGCAACUGAAUGUGACUCCUUGUAAUCAAAUGCUCAUCCCUCAAUUCAUGUUGGGAAUCCCAUCUCUCUCACUUUCUCAAGAAGUUCAAUGCUUCUGUCAGACUGUCUCCAGUCAAUUAUUCCCAUCAGCAUAUAAACAUAAUCCAGUAUUACUGUCCUAACCAAUACUCCAUAUUGAUCCACAUCCCUUUCCAGCUACCAUUCUUUUCUGUCUUUCACAAUAAAAUUCCAUAAAAUAGUUGUGUACACACAGCACUUUUAUGUUUUCACUUCACAGUCACUUUGGAAUUCACUUCAAAUUGGCAUUCACCCACAUGACCCAGUUGGUCACUAAUGACCUUUAUAGUGCUAUGUCCACAUUUUCAUCUCACUAGAACUUUCAGCAACAUCCAACAAUUGACCAUUCUCUUCUCAAAAUUGGCCAUUCUCUUCUUGAAAUUGUUCUUGGCUUACAUGAUUCCAUAUUUCCCUGGUCUUUUAUCUGCUUCUCUACCUGCUCCUCCUAAGCCUCUGUUGUGUCUUUUCUUCCACUUUCUAUAAUACCUCUAAGUAUUGAAUUUCCUCAGUAUUCUGCUCUGAACCCCAUGCCUUAUGUUUCCAUAAAUAAUCUCAUUCAUCCUCAUGGCUUAAAAUACCAAUUCCAAGCCAAUGACUCCUAUGUCUGUAUCUCUAGUCCUAACCUCUCCUCUGACCUCCUGACUUAUACUCUUGUCUUUAUAACACCCACUUAUGAAUGCUUCAUGGACAUCUCACAUAAAUAUAUCCAAGACUGCAUUUUUAUUUCCCUCUGAAAACCUAGUCCUCCUUCCAUCCUCCCCACCUCCCUUUUUUGGCAACAUUAUCCACGCUGUUGAUCAGGUCUGGAUCCUGGGAGUCACUAAUUAUUUCUCCCUGUAUUUCUUCCUCUAGUCCAAUUCGUCACUAAGUCUGAUCAUCUGUCUCCUAAAUGCAGCAUAAGGAGAUCCACUUUUCUUUAUCGUUACUGCCACAUUGUAGUUUGAUCUACUAUUAUUUUAAACUUAACAACCACAAUACCUUCAAACUGAUCUCCAUGCACACAGAACACAGUGACUCUCAUCCUUAAUUGAAUCUCUACACAGCCACAGAAACAGUCUUUCUUGAAACAUAAAUCCCAGCAUGACACUGCCUGACAUGCAAUCUCUCUUUGCACUUUGUCUUAGUCCAGGUACAUCAGUGUUGCUAUAAGUCCUGUUGGUCAGCCUCCUGCCCCGUACCCUAAGCUCAUCUUACAUCAGCGAGUCCUCACUCUCCACUCUCUAGACUGACUCCUGAUGUUUUCUCAAGCAAGUUGAUUUCUUUCUCAUCUUAAUCCUUCACAGGUGGUACAUAGUGCUUCCCGAGUUUAGAUCUCCACUCUCCCUUAUGUUCUCAUAAAGGAUUCAUAUGUCCUUUAGGUCUUGGCUUAAAUGCCAUCUAUUCAGAGAAGCCUUCCCUGGCGACCUUAUCUGAGUCAAUCUUCCAUUGUUAUAUUGUUAUAUUGAUUUGCUUUGUUUCUUGCUACUUCUUCUACUUGACUCGGUAGAAGGCUCUGCAUAAUUGACCAAAAUAUAUACAGUGUUUUUCAGAGUGCUAGUCACCUAUUAGUACUGAAGAAUUAUUUGUUGAAUAACUUAAUGAUUUUUUUGCAGUUACACGAGUGUUGUUUUGAUUGACUGAAAAUAGAUUGCCUAAGAUGACAUGAAAGAUCAAAGGUGAAGAGUGGAAGAUAGCACCACUUUGGGUUAAAAGUUUACUUAAGUCAGCAACUCCUCAAGAAACAGCUACCAGCAUUCCUGGGACUAUUAUGCCCUGGUCUACUUGUAGCCUGUUUGUAUUCCAGCCUACUUUGGCACCUUGCCGUCUCUGCUUACCGACUUUCUGCAUAAGAGUGAAAUAGAAAGUGACUUGGAACCAUGUAUACCUAAAGUGUGACAUUUAAAAAAACGUCCUCAGAAAAACUAAUAUCCUGGUUAUUUUUGAAUGUGCUAAGAGACUCUUUUUUUUAAUCUUGUUUUUUUAUUUUGAAUAUAGAGCACAUUGAGGUUUAAAAUGGAAAAUUCUAUUAAAAAUAAAAGGCAUACGUUUACAUAUCUUACAAUUACCUCUGCUUCUGUCCCUCCCAUUCCUUAUGAG
rnacentral:lncRNA from 1 species